UCUGCUUCAACUAUCUUUAAUGCAAGAUACAUAGUUAAAUUAGAGUGUUUCCUUUUCCUGAAGGAGGCACAUCUUUGGUAACCAAAACAAUGCCUCUGGGAUCUCCUCCAAAAUGGCAGCCAUUAUGUAACAAAUUCCAAAAGAGACAAAAAGCAGCUGGUAUCUUCUGAAGAGGUUACCUUAGAGAUUUCAUCGAAAUCCAGGGAUGCCUAGAAGCAGUUAGUUGCGAACGAGGACAAUUUAUUGUUCCAUGUAAAGCAAGAGAUUUUUUUUUCCCGGAGAACAUUUUUGUUAAUAAUUUUAUACACUUUGGGUUUCUGAGGGAUCUUCAGAGUGAAUAUUGCAGCAAAUCAAGUAGAGAUUUUCUUUUUAAUUGUGGCAAGAACACUUUACGAGUGAUGAAGCCACUUUGCUGAAUAAGGUGAUGGGCGACUUGUAAGGAGAUUUUAAUGUGUACAUUGGCUCUAGUUCAUAAAAAUGGUCUGCUGAAAAUAUGGACUAUGUGUACAGCUGAUUUUCAUCUUAGGUCUGUAUUUUUUGGAGAAAUGAAGCACAACUAACACAAUAAGUGUACUUAAGACAUCUAUUCCAGUGAAUGUGAGAUGAAGCAUCUAUGCAUUUCAUCAGAUUGCCUGACCCAGUGUGGCUCCCCAAGCACUGCAAGGACUUGGUGAAAAUCUGAAGCUGACAAGGAAACGUCAAAUAAGGUUCUUUGCAAGACCAAGCUUUCCCUUUGGAUGCAAGUUGCAUGGCAUAAUCCCAGAUGGACCAGCAUGGAUAUUUCCCUGGCAUAACUUGUUCUUUUACAUCUGUGGAGCAGCAGUGAGUUGAUUGUGUCUUCUUGAAGAUCAAGACUGGUGAGGAUGUUUGGAUAAUAAUCAAAAGACUAUGUUGGACACCAUAGUCUUGAAAAUAUUUAACAGCAUCCUCUCUGUGCUAAUAUGAACUUUGAAGAAAAUGAUGCAGUAGGAUACAGAAAAGCUUCAAAAUACAUUCAUGGGAAACAAUAAUGAUGUUUAUUGGAAUUAAUCACUGCUAAAUACCCUCUUAUAACAGGACAUUUGGAUGGUUCUAGCUAAUGCCAGAGAGGGGUAGAUUUUAUAAAAAGAUAAGAAAAGAUUAAGGAAAAUCAUGAAUAAGGAGAAGAAGAAGACUGGGACAUUUAUAAAUAAGGUACAGAAUCAGAGUAUGUAAGGCAUGAAUGGAGUCUUGGAGUGUAAUGGGAGGUAAUUUGCUACAUCUAGUUGCAUCCAAAUAUGGUGCUGAGACUUUCUUUUCCACCUUAGUAUUGAUAUGUCUGUUUAUCAAGGGCCCCAUUUUUUGCUUUCAGGUAUUUUCAACUAAUUUAGAUCCUUAAAAACAGUGGGUUCCCAAGAGAUUACAUGGGAUUUAGCCAAAUUUCAGAAUAUGGCCAAGUACUUUUACUAAAAUAACCAAAUGCUAGCAGUUGGCAACUUUGAUGAGCCCUAAUUCCCAGGGACCUAGAGAAUAUCUUCUAUGCCAGAUAAUAUAAAUUCUUAUUUGAUCAGCUGUGAUAUAUUCUGUAUGCAUUGGCUGCAUUUUUACAUGGCUUUCCAGAGCAAGCCAUAAUAAAGUCUUCAUCUGGAAGCUGAUUUUUUAAAUCCUUUUCUUGACUUUAGGCCAUUCCUCCUUCUCCUAAAUCACUAGUUCUCAAAGUGUCGUCUGUAGAUUAACAGUAUCAACAUUGGCUGGAAGCUAAUUAGAAAUGCAAAGUUUUGAGCCACACCUCAGAUCUACUUCAGAAACUCAGAGGCUGACUAAACUUUGCAUCUUGUUAAGUCUUCCAGGCAAUUUUAACACAUGCUAGUGUUUGAACACCACCUUCCUAAGGUUGUGCAUGAGCUCUGUCAGCCUGGGUAAGCCUCAUGCAUUGAGUUUUAUGGGAGAGCUAGAGCAGGUUUGUCAACCUCUCUCCUUUUUUCUCGAUUUGCUCCAUACUCAGUUCCACCAGGGCCUGCUCUUUGGAUGCUCAGGAGCACAUAUUGGAGGUCAAAACAACUGCCUUUCUCUUUAUCCUUUUGUUUUAACAACCUAAUUUUCCUUGAGGUGGUGUGGAGUCAUCUGACUGAGAAGGGGAGAGGGUUGGUAAAAAAGGAAGUAUAGAAAAGGGAAAAAAAAAUCUUUUUAGAUACACUCUUGCUACCUGGGAAGACAAUGUCAGACAAUUAUAUGAUCCACCUAAUUUAACGUCUUUUUUUAUUUUUAGCAGAUAUAUCACAUGGAGAAAAUAUACUUUUAUGUAAAUAAAAAUCAGUGAAAUAAAUUUUGCUUUGCUUUGUGCUUAGUGUAUGUGAUAUUAAUAACCAAUAAGUUAUUAGAGGUUCUUCUUUCUUUUAUUUUAAAUUACAUUCUUAAUCAAUGUAUUUUAAAUCAUCUCUCUUACUGCUUCCAUACCUCUAGAUUAUAUAAGAAUAGAAAAUAUGACUCUCAGAAUGAUCAGCCUGAGUAAUGCAACAUUUCAGAUAAUCAAAACAAUUUCACUAAGUUUGUCAGCAUCCAGUAUGGUAAGCUCCAAUCACAAAGAUAAAAUAAUCAGAAUUUCCACUCAUAGUUUAACUUAAGUUGCCAUCUCCUAUUAGAUUUAGGUCAAUGCCUCCUCAAAAGUUAUAUACAGAUACAGUGACUGACUCUUCAUUCAAAAAUAUUUACUUUAUAUUUUUAUCACAUAGGGAAAAAAACAGUCUGUGUGUGUGUUUAUGUAUGUGUGUCUUCAAUCUCUGUUUCUCUGUCAUCUUUUUCUUGUCUGCAUUAGUCCAUUCUCACGCUGAUCUGAGGAAAUACCCAAGACUGGGUAAUUUAUAGAGAAAGAGGUUUGACUCACAGUUCCACAUGGCUGGGGAGGCCUCAGGAAACUUACAAUCAUGGUGGAAGGCACCUCUUCACAGGGCAACAGGAGAGAGAAUGAGUGCUGAGCAAAGGGGAAGCCCCUUAUAAAAUCAUCAGAUCUCAUGGGAACUCCCUAUCACAAGAACAACAUGGGGAAACCACCCCCAUGAUUCAAUUACCUCCACCUGGUCCUGCCCUUGACACGUGGGGAUUAUUAUAAUUCAAGGUGAGAUUUGGGUGAGGACACAGAGCCAAAUCAUAUCAUUUUCCUUCUUUAAACACAUAUUUGUUGCCUCUACCCUAUUAAAAUAAAAUAGCAUAAAAUACUUCUCUCAUUAAUCCUGUUCCAAAAAAUCUAUUCUACCUCUGUAUUUUCGUUGAAAAGUAUGAAUGUGAGUUAUUUUAAGUCUACAGGAAGCCUACUGUAUGGAAACAACUUCUUAAUAAUUUCAGUUAUAAAUGAUAUUCUAUUCACUAAGGCUGCAAAUUUAAAGCCACAUUAUU
rnacentral:lncRNA from 1 species